rnacentral:rRNA from 1 species
GACGAACGCUGGCGGCAUGCCUAAUACAUGCAAGUCGAACGAUGAUAUCACUGCUUGCAGUGAUUGAUUAGUGGCGAACGGGUGAGUAACACGUGAGGAACUUGCCCAUGAGCGGGGGAAAACAUUCGGAAACGGAUGCUAAUACCCCAUAGGUGGAUUGGUCGCAUGACGAAUUCAUUAAAGGUGGCUCUGCUACCACUCAUGGAUAGCCUCGCGGCGUAUUAGCUAGUUGGUAAGGUAAUGGCUUACCAAGGCAGUGAUACGUAGCCGACUUGAGAGGGUGAUCGGCCACACUGGGACUGAGACACGGCCCAGACUCCUACGGGAGGCAGCAGUAGGGAAUCUUCCACAAUGGGUGCAAACCUGAUGGAGCAAGGCCGCGUGAGUGAAGAAGGUCUUCGGAUCGUAAAGCUCUGUUGUUAGAGAAGAACACGUGCUAGGUAACUACUAGCGCCUUGACGGUAUCUAACCAGAAAGUCACGGCUAACUACGUG